GUUGGUGGCUUUGAGAAGUUUACCAAAGGAAUAGGGAUGAAGUUGCUUGAGAAGAUGGGUUAUAAGGGAGGUGGGUUGGGUAAAAAUGAGCAAGGAAUUGUGGCUCCGAUUGAGGCGAAGCUGAGACCUAAGAAUAUGGGAAUGGGAUUUAAUGACUACAAGGAGACUAGUAGUGCACCAGCUCUUCAAGAAUCAGAUGGAAAGCAGACUGUUGCUCGUCCUGCUAUACUACCUGUGGAAGGUCGAUCAAAAGAGAAGCUUUGGUCAAAGCAAGCUAAAAAAGUGAAGAAGGUUUAUGUUACAGCUGAAGAGUUGUUAGCCAAAAAGCAGGAGCAAGGCCUGGAAACUGUUCAGAAGGUGUUUGAUAUGAGAGGUCCACAGGUUCGAGUCUUGACGAAUCUGGAGAACUUGAACGCAGA
rnacentral:misc_RNA from 1 species